AUUGAACGCUGGCGGCAGGCCUAACACAUGCAAGUCGAGCGAGCGGCGGACGGGUGAGUAAUGUCUGGGAAACUGCCUGAUGGAGGGGGAUAACUACUGGAAACGGUAUCUAAUACCGCAUACCAUCAGAUGUGCCCCGAUGUGAUUAGCUAGUAGGGUGGGUAACGGCUCACCUAGGCGACGAUCCCUAGCUGGUCUGAGAGGAUGACAAGCCACACUGGAACUGAGAAACGGGCCAGACUCCGACGGGAGGCAGCAGUGGGGAAGAUUGCACAAUGGGCGCAAGCCUGAUGCAGCCAUGCCGCGUGUGUGAAGAAGGCCUUCGGGUUGUAAAGCACUUUCAGCGGGGAGGCGUUACCCGCAGAAGAAGCACCGGCUAACUCCGUGCCAGCAGCCGCGGUAAUUC
rnacentral:rRNA from 1 species